GGGCAAUUAGCUCAGCCGGUUAGAGUACAUGCCUCACAUGCAUGGGGUCGGGGGUUCAAGUCCCUCAUUGCCCA
rnacentral:tRNA from 1 species